AAUCGAGUGGCUUAGUGGCUAGCGCUCGCGCUUACCAAUUUCGUAUUGUGGGUUCAAUUCCGACCGGGGUCA